rnacentral:tRNA from 44 species
GGCUCGAUGGUCAAGCGGCUAAGACGUCGCCCUUUCACGGCGAAAUCUCGGGUUCGAUUCCCGAUCGAGCUACUA